rnacentral:rRNA from 1 species
GAAUGGCGUAAUGAUGGCCAGGCUGUCUCCACCCGAGACUCAGUGAAAUUGAACUCGCUGUGAAGAUGCAGUGUACCCGCGGCAAGACGGAAAGACCCCGUGAACCUUUACUAUAGCUUGACACUGAACAUUGAGCCUUGAUGUGUAGGAUAGGGUGGGAGACUAUGAAGUGUGGACGCCAGUCUGCAUGGAGUCAACCUUGAAAUACCACCCUUUAACGUUUUGAUGUUCUAACCUAGGUCCAUAAUCUGGAUCGGGGACCGUGUCUGGUGGGUAGUUUGACUGGGGCGGUCUCCUCCUAAAGAGUAACGGAGGAGCACGAAGGUUGGCUAAGCAUGGUCGGACAUCAUGCGGUUAGUGCAAAGGCAUA